rnacentral:rRNA from 1 species
UGGGGAAUUGUUCGCAAUGGGCGCAAGCCUGACGACGCAACGCCGCGUGGAGGAUGAAGAUUUUCGGAUCGUAAACUCCUGUCGAAUGGGACGAAUGGCCUGGCCGUGAACAACGGCCGGGAAUGACGGUACCGUGAGAGGAAGCCCCGGCUAACUCCGUGCCAGCAGCCGCGGUAAUACGGGGGGGGCAAGCGUUGUUCGGAAUUACUGGGCGUAAAGGGCUCGUAGGUGGCCACCUAAGUCCGACGUGAAAUCCCUCGGCUCAACCGGGGAACUGCGUCGGAUACUGGGUGGCUUGAAUCCGGGAGAGGGACGUGGAAUUCCAGGUGUAGCGGUGAAAUGCGUAGAUAUCUGGAGGAACACCGGUGGCGAAGGCGGCGUCCUGGACCGGUAUUGACAC